GCCAUCGUAGCCCAAUGGUAGGGCGUCGCUUUCCUACGACCCUCUGACGGCGAAUAGGCGAAGGUUGCGGGUUCGAAUCCCGUCGUUGGUA